rnacentral:rRNA from 1 species
AUUGAACGCUGGCGGCAGGCCUAACACAUGCAAGUCGAGCGGGGUUUUCGGACCUAGCGGCGGACGGGUGAGUAAUGCGUAGGAAGCUACCCGAUAGAGGGGGAUACCAGUUGGAAACGACUGUUAAUACCGCAUAAUGUCUACGGACCAAAGUGUGGGACCUUCGGGCCACAUGCUAUCGGAUGCGCCUACGUGGGAUUAGCUAGUUGGUGAGGUAAUGGCUCACCAAGGCGACGAUCUCUAGCUGGUUUGAGAGGAUGAUCAGCCACACUGGAACUGAGACACGGUCCAGACUCCUACGGGAGGCAGCAGUGGGGAAUAUUGGACAAUGGGCGCAAGCCUGAUCCAGCCAUGCCGCGUGUGUGAAGAAGGCCUUCGGGUUGUAAAGCACUUUCAGCGAGGAGGAAGGGUUGUGGUUAAUAACCAUGUCGAUUGACGUUACCCGCAGAAGAAGCACCGGCUAACUCCGUGCCAGCCGCCGCAGUAACAC